UACGGGGGGGGCAAGCGUUGUUCGGAAUUACUGGGCGUAAAGGGUGCGUAGGCGGUUCGCUAAGUUGGAUGUGAAAACUCUGGGCUUAACCCAGAGCCUGCAUUCAAAACUGACGGACUAGAGUUCUGGAGGGGGUAGCGGAAUUCCUGGUGUAGCGGUGAAAUGCGUAGAUAUCAGGAGGAACACCGGUGGCGAAGGCGGCUACCUGGACAGAAACUGACGCUGAGGCACGAAAGCUAGGGGAGCAAACAGG
rnacentral:rRNA from 1 species